rnacentral:rRNA from 1 species
UACGUAGGGGGCAAGCGUUGUCCGGAAUUAUUGGGCGUAAAGCGCGUGUAGGCGGCUCGGUAAGUCUGCUGUGAAAGUCCAAGGCUCAACCUUGGAAUGCCGGUGGAUACUGUCGAGCUCGAGUCCGGAAGAGGCGAGUGGAAUUCCUGGUGUAGCGGUGAAAUGCGCAGAUAUCAGGAGGAACACCGGUGGCGAAGGCGGGUCUCUGGGCCGUAACUGACGCUGAGGAGCGAAAGCGUGGGGAGCGAACAGG